UUUAGCUAUAAAAGAAACAAUUAACAUUUUCAUAUAUGAACUUAUAGAUACAAAAUACAAAAAAAAAAUAUAUUUAAUUAGUUUGGGGAGAGGUGUAGUAUAGUUAUUAUUCAAAUUAUUAGUAUUUCGUACGUCAUACUACGUAUAUUAUAAUUAAGUAAUGAUCUGUAUAUAAGUAACAUGACUAAGCAAUAAAAGGGACAAAUCUCACAAUAUUA